rnacentral:lncRNA from 1 species
UGCGCUCUGCCUCCGUUGGCAGUGCAGGUGCCGCUGCGCCGGGGCCCGGGAGGCUGCGCGCGCCGAGACGAGAGGAGCCAGGGAGGGAUGGAGAGCGGGCCGCCCGGGCUACAGAAGCACCGGCAAGGGGCGUAGGCGGGCGAGAAGCGGGCAUUGAGGCACCAGAAGUGUGCAGACGCAGGAGCACUUUGCGAUAGGAUGAGGCUCUUGGCUGGCGCGCGGUAGUACUAUGAUUUGGUAUGUGGCCACUUUGAUAGCAAGUGUGAUCAGCACCCGAGGUCUUGUGGCUCAAGUUGCCCACGGCCUGCGAGAGGAACCUGAGUUUGUGACCGCUCGUGCCGGCGAA